CUCCCACUCCCCAACCCCUUCCACACUUCACCUCUCAACCCUUCACUCCCAUUAUUCUUAUGAUGGGAGGGUCUGAUGUACGGACCGUCUCUACUUCUUCAUUUUCACCAAUCUCUUCGUCGCCGUGGUCACCACAAACUUGGAGGAAAAGAUGGCCGACUAUGACGACAAGAACUCUUAAGAGUGUUCGCUGGCUAGCGAUUAUACCGGAAGAUACGGGAGUCCUGAUGGACCAGAGCAGAGGUGGUGACCAAGACCAACAUGACCCGGCACCAGAAGACCUGGAAGAACCUGACCAUUGACACCUUGGAGAAGCAGACCCUUGCCAGCACAAGAGUAUAGUGGAGGGGGUGCACAGCCUGUCGUUCAACGUACAGCAAGAGGUGAUGAUGAGGAACCAUAUGACUGCAACCCUCCAGGACAAACUAUUAAAUAAUGAUAUUGCCACCGUCCAUACUGGAGACAUCCUGUCCACCCUCAUCACCCUGGAGAAGGUAAGAAGGCAGUGGACAUGGCACCAUUCCCCAUAUAGUGCACUAAUUUUGAUCAGAGCCUUAUGGGUGCUCAAUAGAUUCAAUGACUCUUCCUGGAGUUGUCUAUAACCUUAUAUUUACUGUUCUGUUACUAAUGUCAGUUGUGUGUCAAGCUCAUCAAAUCCAAUGUAUUUAUAAAGCCCUUUUUACAUCAGCAGAUGGCACAAAGUGCUUAUACAAAAACCCAUCCUAAAACCCCAAACAGCAAGAAAUGCAGAUGUAGAAGCACAGUGGCUAGGAAAAACUUCCUAGUAAGGCAGGAGCCUAGGAAGAAACCUAGAGAGGAACCAGGCUCUGAGGGGUGGCCAGUCCUCUUCUGGCUGUGCUGGGUGGAGAUUUUCAGAGUACAUGGCAAUUAAGGCCAGAUUGUUCUUCAAGAAGUUCAAGCAUUCAUAGAGCGUCUGCUAAAUGACUUAAAUGUAAAUGUAAAUGACCAGUACGGUCAAAUAAUAAUCACACUUGUUGUAGAGGGUGCAACAGGCCAGUACCUCAGGAGAAAAUGUCAGCUGGCUUUUCAUAACAGAGCAUUUAGAGGUCGAGACAGAAGGUGCGGUAGUCAGUAGAAAACAGCACGUCCAGGAGAAGGUAGCACAUCCUGUGAACAUGUCAGGGUUCCAUAUGCAUGGGCAGAACAGUUAAAACUUGAGCAGCAUCAAGACCAGGUGGACUGUGGGUAGCCAGGAAUCAUCAGGCCUGGUAGUCCAGAGGCACGGUCCUAGGGCUCAUGUCCUCAACUCGAACAGAGCAUCCUCACCUGUUCCAGCAGGGGGAUAUGCGUCAUGCAGCCAUGAGGCUGUCCUACCUGUCUACUUCUACACAUGUGGAUGUGGGACACAGUAACACUCCCAGCACACACCACAACACAGGCUGAACACACCUUUAACAGCCAUUUGGCUUUACUGAUUAGCUGAAAUGAUCUCAAAGAUAAUGUGCUAGGUUUCAUGGUUAAGUCAGACUGUAUGCUUGCUGCACACAUUUGCACAUGCAGAUCAAUGUUGACCAUGUACUGUGAAAUCAAGGGGGAUUUU